UACGGGGGGUGCAAGCGUUAUCCGGAUUUACUGGGUUUAAAGGGUGUGUAGGCGGGCUUUUAAGUCAGUGGUGAAAUCUCCGGGCUCAACCCGGAAACUGCCAUUGAUACUAUUAGUCUUGAAUUUUGUUGAGGUAGGCGGAAUAAGUCAUGUAGCGGUGAAAUGCUUAGAUAUGACUUAGAACACCAAUUGCGAAGGCAGCUUGCUAAACAAAUAUUGACGCUGAGGCACGAAAGCGUGGGGAUCAAACAGG
rnacentral:rRNA from 1 species